rnacentral:rRNA from 1 species
UACGUAGGGUGCAAGCGUUGUCCGGAAUUAUUGGGCGUAAGGAGCUCGUAGGCGGUUUGUUGCGUCGGCUGUGAAAUCCCGAGGCUCAACCUCGGGUCUGCAGUCGAUACGAGCAAACUAGAGUGUUGCAGGGGAGACUGGAAUUCCUGGUGUAGCGGUGAAAUGCGCAGAUAUCAGGAGGAACACCGGUGGCGAAGGCGGUUCUCUGGGCAUGUCCUGACGCUGAGGAGCGAAAGUGUGGGGAGCGAACAGG